CAUGCCACGGUGGUGCAGGAUGCUGGCUGGAACACCACUGCGGCAGCUUGAAGUGCCAGCCCUGGAUGUUGUUGUUGUAAGAGAAGAGCUUUGAUUGCUUUAAUGUUAAAGCCAGGGAACCUGUAAGAGCUUCAAUAACUUUAAUGCUAAAGGAACCGGUUUUCACUUAUGCCCUGGGGCUACAUUUCCUAUUUGGCACUGACCUGCACAUGUCCUCCUCAUCUCCUGCAAAACUUAUGACAGAAAGGUACAAAAGUGCUGUACAUUUGCUCUGCAUUAUGAACCAUGGCUGCAGAAAAUCAGAAAAGGAAUUAUUCAGUACAUCCUCACCCAUUCCCUCUCUGAAACCCUGCCGUCAGCAGGAGUAACAAAACAAAAGUGUUUGGUGAAUCCUGGAGCUCUGCAGAAGUACAGAAAGCACUUGUGAGGGAAACUGUUGCAACAAAUGCGCUCUCCAGUUGCUCUCUGAGAUGAUGAAAGAGUGCAGCUACAUUGGAGAUGCACACUGCAGCAGCAGGAUGAAAGAACCUCAGUGCAGCUUCAGAAACAUACAUUUUAGUCACUGUGCCAUUGCUUCAAUCACUUGCAAAUUUUAUUGCUGUUGUCUUCUAUUUGUGUGUCUGUCAUGUUUUAUUGUUGCGUUUAUCGUAAGCUGUCCCAAGCAGCAGUGUACUGGAUGAGGGAGGGGGUAAAAUGUUUUAAAUACAUACACACAUAAUACAAUGCAUCUCAUACAGCUGAACAUCAUUGAUUAUGAAUCACUGAUUAUGAUUCCCCCCCACCCCGGGGUAAAUGGAAGCAUCUGAUCAGAUGAAACUUGAAGCAGGUGCUGCUGCUGCCUUGGAAGACGUUAUGGGGCAAUCCCAGACCUAAAUAAUGAUGCAACAAAAAUGGCAAGAGUGGAUAUUAGGGAUCUUGAGAUUAGCAGCACCAUUUUUACCUGGGGGUGUAUUGGAACAAUAAAGUUGGCCUUCCUGAAACUUUUGGAAUGACAAGCUAAAUUUAUUGAACUGAGUGAUUCAGCACAGCAGACUGGACAUCCUGCACCUGGCACACAAUAUCAUGAUGAGUGGAACCGGUGAGUGGAACAGGUGCCUUCUGUCUUGUGUUUCCUCACCUCCUUGUAAUGGAACAUCUAGCACUGCUGAAGGGAGGCCAUGACAGCGAGCCAAAGUGAAUAUGUCAAUCUGUUCUGAGGUUUUGGAUACCUGAACUUGAUAUCAGACUUCUUUUUGUUAUAGUGGACAAUGUACAUUUAAAACUCUGUGUCCUUCCACAUGUGAGAUGUAUCAUUCUGCUCUUAAAAGAGCUUAGUAUGAGCACUGUUCAGUGGCCACACAUAUUUUUUACUACUACUACUACUAUGAUUAUUUAUGUACUGCUCUUCAAUCAAAGUUCUCAAAGCAGUUUACAUAGAAAAAUAUAUAAUAGGAUGGUCCCCCGUUCCCAAAGAGCUCACAAUCUAAAAAGAAACAUGGCAGAUACCAGCUACAGCCACUGGAGGGAUGCUGUGCUGGGGUUGGAUAGGGCCAGUUGCUCUCCCACUGCUAAAUAUAAGAGAAUCGCCACUCAGUUAGCAUGCUUUUUCUUUGGGCUCUACAUACUGUUCAGUGCUCAUCCUGAAUAUGAAUGGCACAUCUGUAAUGUAUGUGUAUAUUCAUUCAUAUUCACUGAGAUGUUUUAAUUUUUAUAUGUAUUAUGUGUUGAACUGUUUUAACUUUUGUAUGUGUUUUAAUUGUUGUUAGCCGCCCAGAGACGUAAGUUUGGGUGGAGUAUAAAUUUAAUAAACAAACAAACAAACAAACAAACAAACAAAUAAUGUGCAAUGGCCUGUAUAAGAACACAUGCCACUGCAUAAUAACUUGAGGUUGAAUAACAAACAUUUAAAAAUGCUAUAUUGUAAUGUUUUCAACGGAAUGUAAUGAAACAUAAGCUCUAUCAAAAUAAAAAAACAUAUUAGGGUUAGGAUUACAUCUCACAUGCAUUUCAAGCAGCAUAUUGAUUCAUGGUAGUCCAGGAACAGCUUUAUAAGUAAAAGUGUAGUUACAGGGUACAACCCUACUUGUAGUGGCAGUGUCUCUUCCUUACAAGCUUUGUACAUCAGUAUGCAUAUGAGAUCAAAUUUCCUGCAGCUACAAACCU